UCACGGUGGGCCUCACAGAAUUUACUCAGUACACUAAUGGGCGGCCGGAGCAGAGUAGCUUAUUUUUAUAUUUCGUACCCUACAACGAAACGCCUUCUUUUCGUCGCCCCUGCUCACUCGACCUCAGUCCCAUUCCCACAGCCAUGGCUAUUCUGCCCCAUAGCCUCCCUUACUCUUUAUAAUCUGAUCUCUCUGUCAUAUCCACGACAUUUCACCUCUUCCUUUGCAUCUCUGGAACUCCUUCAGCUGAUAUGGACAGUCUUCGGGAGAAGGUGACGAAGCUUGGAAUUUGUUGAUUGCUGACUAAAGCCAGACCUUGUCAAUGCUAUUGCUGAGAGGUUAUCCUCCAAUCUGAGACAAUUCCAGAGUUGACGAGAACUUCUCAGGCAUUAGCUCUACUGCACGAUGAAGCGUUGGAGUUACGUAAAUUAGCGGAUGCUCGAAAAAGUGAAAACGAUUUCUUAAAGACGACAUAGGAAGAAGAGAAAUCAGACUUACAGGAACUGAAGGAUGAAGCUGAGAGAAAGUACAAUGAAAUAAACGACCAGCCCAUUGAUCCAGCAUUGGGAAUCAUUUGUGGAGGAGAUGCAGCAGAUCAAAUAUGUAUUAAUGUUUCUCAUGGGCACCUGGUAAGGGAUUAUGUUGCAACAAGAUGGUAUAGAGCUCCUGAAUUGUGUGGAUCCUUUUUUCUCUAAGAUAAAUGCUUGUCCAGUACAGCUUGAAGCGUCUUGUGCCUAGGCUAUCUGAACUCCUCAGCAUCAAUAUGAUGUUUUACCUUGGAGGCUGAUAAGGUCUUCUGUUCCCUUUAGCUGUGAGGCAGUUCUCUCCACAUUUAGUUGCAAAGAUGAGAACCCCUAUAACGUACGUGCAGUUUCCUUUUUUGAAUUGUUGUAAGCAGUCAACAAUUUGUGUUGUUUCCUUUUUAUUAUUGUGCUAAAGCAGUUAACCAAUUCUGCAGUAAUACAUUACAAAAAAAAAAUAAAAUUCCUUAAC